ensembl:snoRNA Snora7a small nucleolar RNA SNORA7
GACCUCUUGGGAUCGCGUCUGGAGAGUGGCUAGUCUUCUGCCAGCUUCGGAAGCAAGAGGGAGAGCAGCCUGGCAGAGGUACCCAUUCCAUUCCCAGUUUGCUCGGUAACUGGUGAUUGGAAGACACUCUGCAACAUCA